GGAAGGAUCAUUAAAAGUAUAUAGUUAUACAUUCUGUGUAUCGACUAAAUAUACCCAUUCUGAGUACCUUGCCUGUUGCUUCCAUGGAGCCUGACACUUGUCACUCUGGGGAUUUACAUCCCGAGGGAGCCUCCGUGGAAGGUAAUCAAUUAACUCUUGAAUCCAAUGUCAUCUGUCUGAUAAUGUUUAUAACAAAUGUUAAAACUUUCAACAACGGAUCUCUUGGUUCUCGCAUCGAUGAAGAACGCAGCGAAAUGCGAUAAGUAGUGUGAAUUGCAGAAUUCAGUGAAUCAUCGAAUCUUUGAACGCACAUUGCGCCUCCUGGUAUUCCGGGAGGCAUGCCUGUUCGAGCGUCAUUAAAUACCACUCAAGCUCUUCUGCUUGGUCAUGGAAGAAGAGUAUGCUUGCAUCCUCUCUUCUGAAAUCGAAUGGCGGACUGCCUCAUGUGCCUCGCGUAGUAAGUUCAUCUUUUCGCUUGGAGUGUGAGAUAGUCUCGCCAUCAACCCCCAUACUUCUAAGGUUGACCUCGGAUCAGG
rnacentral:rRNA from 1 species